rnacentral:rRNA from 1 species
CCCUUAGAUGUCCUGGGCCGCACGCGCGCUACACUGAUGCAUGCAACGAGUUUAUAACCUUGGCCUGAAAGGUCUGGGUAAUCUUUUGAACGUGCAUCGUGAUAGGGAUAGAUUAUUGCAAUUGUUAAUCUUGAACGAGGAAUUCCUAGUAAACGCGAGUCAUCAGAUCGCAUUGAUUACGUCCCUGCCUUUGUACACACCGCCCGUCGCACCUACCGAUUGAAUGGUUCGGUGAAGAUCUCGGACUUCGAUAUUUAUUCUUUAUUGAGUUUAUAUUGUGGGAAGUUAUCUAAACCUCAUCAUUUAGAGGAAGGUGAAGUCGUAACA